rnacentral:rRNA from 1 species
UACAGUGGGAGCGAACGUUACUCGGAAUCACUGGGCAUAAAGGGCGCGUAGGCGGUCCUGUAAGUCGGAUGUGAAAGACCUUGGCUCAACCAAGGAACGGCAUCCGAUACUGCGGGGCUUGAGGCCGAGAGGGGCAAGCGGAACUCCUGGUGGAGCGGUGAAAUGCGUAGAUAUCAGGAGGAACACCGGUGGCGAAGGCGGCUUGCUGGAUCGGUUCUGACGCUGAGGCGCGAAAGCCAGGGGAGCAAACGGG